AGGAAAUUGUUUCAAACUAAAAGAGAGAAGAUUGAGAUUGGAUAUAAGGACAAAGUCUUUUACAGUGAGGGUGGUGAGGCACUGGAACAAUGGCUGCCCAGAAAGCAGGUGGAUGCCCCAUCCCUGGAGAUGUUCAAGGUCAGCCUAGACCAGGAUCUGAGCACCUGAUCUAGCUGUGGAUGUUGCUGUUCAUUGCAAGGGAGUUGGUCUAGAUGACCUUUAAAGGUCCCUUCCAACUCUAAGGAUUCUAUGAUUCUAUGAUAUUCACCAUUAUUUUCCAAAUCAAUUAAACAUUCUAAGCUUGCUGUAGCAUUUAGUAUUGCACCCUUUCUCACGAAUGAGGAAUCACCUGAAUAAUGACAGUAUCCAAAACCUUCUCCUAUAUACUUUUUGCAUGACCUGCCAUUUCAUUUGCUAUCCACAGUGACUAAGAAAAUAACAGGAAAGUACUUACUUUAUGUAGGCACGGCUCAUUAAUUGAGAACAGCUGUAGGGUUUUGGUGUAGAAUUUGCAGAGAGGGUCAUUGGCAAGAUACAAAUGAAAAGCUGAAACACCAAGAAAGAUUCCAUACCUGGAAAUUAUUACUGUUACUGCAGUAGCAAGACACCAGGAUCAAAGCUGUCCUGUUUAGAUCCUGCCUGCCCAGAUGCUCAAAUAGACAUGGCCCACCAUGAAGGAUCCUUCAGCUCAAGUGUGUAAAGAUGAUCUAUUGCUGCUAAGCCACAGGAGGCAUCCAUACUGAGGGCCAGGACCUUAGGAAGUGGGAAUGGAGCUGAAGGCUAUGAUACAGAAACAUAGGAGUGAGCAGGUGGAACAUGCAGCAGGACAGGAGUUGAGCCCGUUUGCUCCAAGGGCUGCACCAAGGGAUUAGCACUGCUGGGGCCUAGGCAGCACCAGUGAGCCUGAGGCCAGCAGACAGAAAUGCCUCCCUGGGACAAACAAGCACCCUUCAGGACAGCCGGCACAGCUGUUCCUGCAGUGGAGGCUGCUAACUUCUUGUUCAAUCACCACAAAAACAUGGCAUCAUACCAGGCACUCUGAAGAAAACAAUUCAACUCCAGUUGAAACUAAGAAACACUUGGGGAACUCUGUAGUAGUAUGCUUUGAGCUGAAAGGACCACAUCUGAAUUCAUUUCACCUAUCCUUAAAGAAUGCUGAUGGCUCAAAGUAAAAAAAAAG
ensembl:lncRNA